GAUGAACGCUGGCGGCGUGCCUAAUACAUGCAAGUCGAGCGAACGGACGAGAAGCUUGCUUCUCUGAUGUUAGCGGCGGACGGGUGAGUAACACGUGGAUAACCUACCUAUAAGACUGGGAUAACUUCGGGAAACCGGAGCUAAUACCGGAUAAUAUUUUGAACCGCAUGGUUCAAAAGUGAAAGACGGUCUUGCUGUCACUUAUAGAUGGAUCCGCGCUGCAUUAGCUAGUUGGUAAGGUAACGGCUUACCAAGGCAACGAUGCAUAGCCGACCUGAGAGGGUGAUCGGCCACACUGGAACUGAGACACGGUCCAGGCUCAUACGGGAGGCAGCAGUAGGGAAUCUUCCGCAAUGGGCGAAAGCCUGACGGAGCAACGCCGCGUGAGUGAUGAAGGUCUUCGGAUCGUAAAACUCUGUUAUUAGGGAAGAACAUAUGUGUAAGUAACUGUGCACAUCUUGACGGGACCUAAUCAGAAAGCAACGGCUAACUACGUG
rnacentral:rRNA from 1 species